GACGAACGCUGGCGGCGUGCCUAAUACAUGCAAGUUGAGCGCUGAAGGCUGGUACUUGUACCAACUGGAUGAGCAGCGAACGGGUGAGUAACGCGUGGGGAAUCUGCCUUUGAGCGGGGGACAACAUGUGGAAACGAAUGCUAAUACCGCAUAAAAACUUUAAACACAAGUUGUAAGUUUGAAAGAUGCAAUUGCAUCACUCAAAGAUGAUCCCGCGUUGUAUUAGCUAGUUGGUGAGGUAAAGGGUCACCAAGGCGAGGAUACAUAGAGGACCUGAGAGGGUGGUCGGCCACAUUGGGACUGAGACACGGCCCAUACUCCUACGGGAGGCAGCCGUAGGGAAUCUUCGGCAAUCGACGAAAGUCUGACCGAGCAACGCCGCGUGAGUGAAGAAGGUUUUCGGAUCGUAAAACUCUGUUGGUAGAGAAGAACGUUGGUGAGAGUGGAAAGCUCAUCAAGUGACGGUAACUACCCAGAAAGGGACGGCUAACUACGUG
rnacentral:rRNA from 1 species